rnacentral:snRNA from 1 species
ACUCAUACCUGGCAGGGAGAUAUCAUUGUUGUAAAAGUGGUUUUCCUGGGGUAAGGCUCAUCUAUUGCACUCUGGAUGUGCCGCCCCCUGUGAUUUCCCCAAAUGUGGGAAAAUCAACUGCCUAAGUGAGGGACUGUGUUUGUGGUUCCCCCUG